rnacentral:lncRNA from 1 species
UGUAGGAUGGAUCUGAAUGAGAAAUUAAUCUCUGACUUCUUCACCAAAUAUUUGGACAACACAACUGUCACAUGAUACUAAAAACAUGGACAUGUUCAGCCUGAUUAGACCUCUAUUUUGAUACAUUCAUUCAACAUAUUUAUCAACUGCUUGCUAUGUGAAAAAUGCUAUCCUAAGUACUAGUCAUGGUCUGAUUGGCCUCACUGCUCGCAGUGUCCACAGGCAGCAGCAGCAGAAUCUGGGAGUUUAUUAGAUAUGUAGGAUGGCAGAUCCACUGCAGGCCUCCUGAGUCAGAAUCUGUCCUUUAAGAAGAUCCCCAGGCCAAUAGGAAUUAAAUCCAAGAAGGAAGGCUUUGUAAAAUAUGGUGCAGGUCAACCACAAACAUUUCAAAGGGCACCACCAUUGAGACAACAUGGAAGUGGAGGAAACAAUUGAACAACAUUAGAGUCAAGUGAGAGUUGACUGUGAAGGGCAUGGGGAGUUUCACAGUGACUCCUGGGUUUUGAGCUUUUGUGAAGAUAACAAAAGAUGCCUCUUGAUUUUAAUUUUUCUAAUCAGCCUUCCCAAAUUUAUUAUGGAAAAUUACUUUAAGUGUUUAUACUUUCCACCUCUUCUCUGUAUGAUCUGUAUAAAAUAAAAUUACUUUACAUGACGCCCUUGUAAGGAGAGAAGCACUGGACUGUAGAAAAAUGAAAUAUCUGAUGGAGAAAAGCAAUAGCUAAAUAGAAAGGGCUGGUGCCUGGCUAGGAGGAAAACAGAAGCAAACUAUGGGAUGAAAGAGACCCUCAUCUUUAAGCACUAGGGAUUUCUCCUGGAGGAAGAAAUAUUCAGUUAAACACUUUACAUGUAUUUAGCAAUAUGAUAAAAUUGAAAAAUUUCACAAAUGUCAGGAGAACAAGAUCUGGUGUCUGGGUUUCAACUCUUAGAGCUUCCCAGCUCGUAGCUA